ACACUUAACAUAUAUGCAAUAAUAACUACAAUUUUUAUGAUUCUUGAAAAUUUAGUUGCGUUCAAGAUAUAUGUAAUAUCAAAGUCAGUCUAUUUAUUAAAAUUACUUUUUUAAUUUAAUGAUUCCAAUCAAGAAAUUAUGGUUCUUGUCUAAUAUGACUACAACCCACUUUAUAUUAUUAUCAUAUUCGACAAGGAUUUUUAAUUUUGUACUGGCUUUGUACAGUAUCAAAUGUAUUUUGGAGUGAAUAAGAAGUAUCUGAAACUAGAAAUCCGGAACAUCACUCCAUGAAGAAAUAUAUUGUGGAACAUGGAAACUUUGGAAAAUAAUCAAGCCGAUUCAAUCAAUGAUUUACUUCUGUAAUUCCUUGAUGAUGUGAGUACUUAUUAAGCAACUUUGUAUGAUAAUGGUGCUUAAACUCAACGAAACGACGGUAAUAAAAGAGAAAGUAUGCAAUAAUUCAUCUUAUAGAACACUAUAUAGCAGUGAAAGGUGCAACACUUAAAUGAUAAGCAUCAACAAGAAGAUGAAACCAGAAAAAAGAGAAAAGUGCUAAGAGCACGCAAAAAACGACUGAGAAGAAAAUCUUAAUCCGAUGAAAUAAAAUGAGGUUGUGAAAAGACUUAAAAGAUAGACUUAUUCCUACUUGGCAAUCUUAUCCUUAUGGUUA